rnacentral:lncRNA from 1 species
UUUUUCGAAACCUCUCUUCAACACUAUCCCAUACCACCUCUGAUUUGAAGGGUGCCCCCAAAGGCAGCCCCAAAUAACAGGAAGGCAAACCACCCACUUUACAGCCCAACUCCAAAGCCAAAUCCUCUAUAUCAUUCACCCUCCCCACCGGAAUAAACUCACUCUUCUCCAAGUUAAUUUUCAACCCUGAGCAAGCCUCAAACCACAUGAGAAGCCAGCUUAGAUGCGUCAACUGAUCCUGAGACUCCUCACAAAACACCAAGGUGUCAUCCGCAAAAAGCAAGUGAGAUAUUAGAAUCCCCUCUCCACCCCUGCCUCUUACCCUCCACCCUGAUAAAAAACCCCCACUAAUGGCCCUUCUCAAUAAACAACUAAACACCUC